UUCAGAAACAAACACACAACACCUCCUUCUUCAUCCCUUAUUCCCUGCGUUCUCUCCUAGCUUCUGGUACACACAGCAACAAACAUCGUCUUCUUCCCCAAACGUUCGAACAAACAGCAGCAAUCACAAGUGAAUCGACUUUCUUGCUUUUCUUGUCGACAUUCACUCUGAAAUUAGGGUUGAAGCUUUCGUUCUUCUGAUAUGCGAAUUUAGGGCAAAAACUAAACUAUCACCAUCUUCUACCUUGAGUUCUCACAAGAUCCAUUGCAAGCUCUCCUCUCAUACCGCCAUUUUUGGAUAAACUUAGACACUCCAUGAAUGUUCUUUUUCUCCUUGAUUGAUUAUUGGUGUAAACAAAAUUAAGGAGAAUUCAUAAAGCAGCGAUCGAUUUUCCUUCCAAGUCCUUCGAAAUUCUGCCGAAUGGGGAAAAACAAAUGAGAUUCGGUUCUGUUUGAUUAAGCAUCGAGGUCCAAGCCGGAAAUUUAUUUCGGAAUCUAAUUUUUGUUCCAUAUCAGUGUCGUCGUCAAACAGAAGGAGGCGACAUCAUCGAGGAACCCUUCUAGUGAUCGCGGAGAACCAGAUUUAGCUUCUUGAAGCGUUUUUGAUUGUUUACAGAUCGGAACCGAUCGGGAACGAUGGCUUAGCGGUGAUGAUUAGAGUUACAUGGAUGUUAUAUUGAGCUGAAUUCGUGAGAAGUUGUAGUAUUGUAUUAGGUUUUUGGUAAAUGUAUAAUAGACUUCGUUGUGUUGUUAUAUUGAACUUUUAGAAUGACUUUUAUGAUUACAUUGUAUUAGGUGUUUGAUUUGAGAAUUAGCUGAUUUAGCUAUGUUUUAUAACUGGUGACCCCAUAGCUCAAGUUUUGGAAUUAAGAUUUAAGUUUCUUGGGAAAUAAAACCUGUGAUGACCCUGUUUACUCAGUCAACGGUAAGUCGGGUUGUUACAACGUCUCUCAGGCCUAACCUAUUAAACCUUAAUGUCCUUUACUAUAUCCUUAAUGCCAACUUACAAUAUCCUUAAUGUCU